CGUAUAACUGGCUUUGUGCAGAAUGAGGAAAUACUUUAUUGCUGUACUCUUGGCAGAACGAGGAUGUUCCCAUGGAAUUGGCUGAAUUGAUGCGGUGGCAGAUGGUUUAUCUUCUUUUUUUUAUAUAUUAUUCCUUUCUCUCGUAUAUCACGGGAGAGACCUUUACGACAUUCGGCACUAUUUACUGCCGGAGUUUCGAUGAAUUUCAAAGUUACUCGCUAUGGUUAACGCUGCGUGUUGCAGUUAACGGAUAAUGGGAAUUGGCCGAUGGCGACAUCUAGCGACAUAUAGUUGCAACCGUAUGGGGAUACAGUGAAGCUGUAUAACAAUGGCGAAUAAUUAAAAUUGAAUAUUAUUGUUGCGCUAAACGGAUACGUGCGAGAAGAAUUCCCACGAGAUAUAACAGUGGGACGCACAAACUACUCUUUCACGCGAUACGUUCCUACUGAUUGAUAUAUUUGUUAUGAAUAUAAUAAAGUUUGAUAUACCGCUGGUCUCUGUAAUAAUUCCUAUAUAUAAUGGAAGGCAAUGGAUCGAUAAUUGUUUCCAGUCAAUACUCCAACAAACGUGUUUUUCUCGGAUAAACCUCGAGAUUUCAGUAUGCGAUGACGCCAGCGACGACGAGACACCGGAUAUUCUUGAAACAUGGCGGAAUAAAUUCAAAGAACGAGAAGUUAUAUUGAAAAUUUAUAGAAAUGAAUCAGGCAAACCGCAAGGAGAAACGAAAUUCCUUUUAUUUCUAGUGGGCUACGCCAAGAAUAGAGCCGUAAAACAUUCUACUGGGGAAUUUCUUUGCUUUCAGGAUGUGGAUGAUCGUAUGCUACCCAUAAGAAUAGAGGCGCAGUAUGCUAUUGCAAAGGAACAUAAGAAUGCUAUCGUUGGCGGACGAUUUAUAAGGGAACCGGAAAAUUCAACAUUACGAUUUACGCGCUGGGCGAAUCAUUUAGAGCAAGAAAAACUCACUGAACAGAUUUAUACGUCGCACGGACCGACUGUUGUAAUGCCUACAUGGUUUUUACACAGAAACGUUUUUGAUAGAAUUGGAGGAUUUUCUGAGGAAGGUCACGGAACGCCUGAAGACUUGAUAUUCUUUUAUGCGCAUCUUGACGCUAAUGGAAUUAUAUUGAGGACCGAAGAGCCUGUUGUUAUUUAUGUUUAUCACACGGGAGCGACAACAUUCUCUAUAGAGGAGAAAACGAUAUGGGAUUUGAGAAUCAACAGGUUGCAAAAUAAGGUUUUAUCCAAUUGGAAAACUUUUACGAUUUGGAAUGCUGGAAAACAAGGACGACGAUUUUUUCAUAGUUUGAAACCCGAAUUUCAAAUAUUAUUUACAGAAAAAAGUCUUUGCUCUGUGUGAUGUUGACAAAAAUAAAAUUGGUUCCAAGUACGAGCCAUAUGAUCCUAUUUUGAGAAAAGUGGGUAGAGCAAUACCGAUACUACAUUAUACUGAGGCAAAACCACCAUUUGUUAUAUGCAUUAAACUGGACAUGUCAAAUGGUGAAUUCGAAAGUAAUUUAGGCUCUUUGAAUUUACGGGAAGGACUGGAUUUUGUACUUUUCAACUAAAGUACAUGAAAUACUCUUGUUGCUACUCAAAGAUGUUAAAUAUAUUAUUUCAGUCACAGAGUGUUAUAUUUAGUAGACGGUAGAGAAUGUUUUGCAUGUUAUUAAAUAAAUUACUUGCUGGUUA